rnacentral:lncRNA from 1 species
ACCCCUUUUCUGGCUUUUUUUUUUUACAUUGUUACUUUUCUCAGACAUUUUGAGCCAGAAAGAAGUGCCCUUCCAUCCAUCCACUAAGCCACGUUUUUCUGGAGCUGCUUUUGCUUCUUGUGUUCCUAGAGUGGUACUAUAAUGGGUACAUGAGCCUGUCCCCAGCCCCGAGCCCUGCCAUCCUCUGUGAGUUCUGACUGUAAAUCAUAUACAUUAUAAGUAAGUUGCUACAUCUCAGAUGGGCGUGCGGGAGACAGAGAGAGAGAGAGAGAGAGAGAGAGAGAGAGAGAGAGAGAGAGAGAGAGAAAGAGAGAGAGAGAGAGAGAAAGAGAGAGAGGAGGAGGUAUGCUCUGGGAUGCCCUACAGUUCUCUAUUACUGGAAGAUACUCUGGGAUGCCCUACAGUUCUCUAUUACUGGAAGAUACUCUGGGAUGCCCUACAGUUCUCUAUUACUGGAAGAUACUCUGGGAUGCCCUACAGUUCUCUAUUACUGGAAGAUACUCUGGGAUGCCCUACAGUUCUCUAUUACUGGAAGAUAAUCUGGGAUGCCCUACAGUUCUCUAUUACUGGAAGAUACUCUGGGAUGCCCUACAGUUCUCUAUUACUGGAAGAUACUCUGGGACUGCUCAUCAAAUACCUACCAUGUAGGAGUUACCCAGGACCCAGAGUCAAUGACAGUCAUAUGUCAUCUUAUGUCAAGUUAUGUCAUUUGUAAGGUGUUUCACUGUAUAUCAACCAUUUGUCAUCCAGAGUGAAUUGAUGUAUUAUACUGCAAUUUAUUGUGUGGAAAAUAGUUUGUCUUUGCGUGUGAUAUAUGAAGAAUUUAUUUCCAAAAUGCUAUAUAUCAAUUUUCAGAAAUGUUGGUAAAUUAGCUUUUAUUGUUUAAAGUUAUGAAAGAGAUUGGUGUAAUGUUUCACUAUCUAAUCAUGACAUGGGGUUGUUCAAUGAAAGACAUGUAUUUGUUUAAAAUCUCUCACCUGAUGGUUACAUUUCAGAGAAAACAUUUUUUCCUUUUUUUUGCAAAACGCUAAAUAUCCGCCUCACUCUCAGAGAAACAAGUAGUCCAGCUAGGUUUUACACAUUCAAAUGUAACAAAUAACUACAUUUUGAAUAAAGAACUGUUCAAAUGAUACAUUUGUGACAUCAAUAUGUAAAAACAUCUUUAUAAAUAUAAUUCAAUACAGUAAUAUGAGAGCUGUAUGUAAAACAUUUAACAUUUUAGUCAUUUAGCAGAUGCUCUUAUCCAGAGCGACUUACAGUAAGUGCAUUCAUCUUCAGAUAGCUAGGUGAGACAACCACAUAUCACAGUCAAAUAUGCAGGAUACAAACAUUCCAUUCCAGCUAAACAAUUGAUAUAUAGCAGUUUGCAAAAAAAAACGUUACAAUUCAAAAAAAAUCUGAAAACAGUUAUAUUUUACACGCACGAAGGUACCCAUAAGCAAUCAUUUCUGAUGAAAAAACACAAAUGUGAAUAAUUGGUGGAUAUAGCGUUUUGGAAAUAAACUGUUCAUAUGCACAGGAAGCUGUUUUUAUGGGUUGUUUGAGUGUCAUAGUUGUGCAUGUAGGCUUCCAAAAUGGUUCUUUGGCUGUCCCAUAGGAGAACCCUUUUUUGGUUCCAAGUAGAACCUUUUUGGUUCCAUGUAGAAGGAUUUUGGGUUUAAUGUAAAACCCUCUGUGGAAAGGGUUCUACAUGGAAACCAAAAGGGUUCUACCUGAAACCAAAGGUGUGUGUGUGUGUGUGUGUGUGUGUGUGUGUGUGUGUGUGUGUGUGUGUGUGUGUGUGUGUGUGUGUGUGUGUGUGUGUGUGUGUGUGUGUGUGUGUGUGUGUGUGUGUGUGUGUGUGUGUGUGUGUUGGUGAGAGCAAGCGAGACUUCCACACUGAGUUUAUUCAUUCUACGGAUCUCUCCCUUUGUGAAUCAUUCUUUGUAUACAGAUUUUCUAUGAGUAAUAUAUGAAUCUAAUAUUUAAUAAUUUUAUAUGACUAACUUACUUAUGAUAAUUGCCAAUAAUGGCC